GAUGAACGCUGGCGGCGUGCUUAACACAUGCAAGUCGAACGGGAAUUAUUUUCUUUAAACUUCGGUCGAUUUAAUUUAAUUCUAGUGGCGAACGGGUUAGUCACGCGUUGGUAACCUGCCUUCUACAGGGGGAUAACACUCAUAAAUGGCUGCUACUCCCGCUUAAUCGCGGAGAGCUGCAUGUCUCGGUGGGUAAAACUCCGGUGGGAUAAUAUGGACCCGCGUUGGAUUAGCUGGUUGGUGGGGUAACGGCCAACCAAGGCGACGAUGCAUAGCCGGGAGGAGAGGGGGAACGGCUACAUUGGGAAUGAGACACGGACCAGACUCCGACGCGAGGGAGGAGUGGAUAACAUUGCACAAUGGGGGAAAACCUGAUGCAGCGACGCCGCGUGAAGGAAGAAGUAGCUCGGUAUGUAAACUUCUAUCAGCAGGGAAGAGAGUGACGGUACCUGACUAAGAAGCCCCGGCUAACUACGUG
rnacentral:rRNA from 1 species